CCAAAAAUCCUCCGCUAGCAAACACAAUACAGCUUAAUCCCUUUAUUAAUCUAAAUUCGUUAGAGAAAAAACAGCAAGCGUGGGUCCCACACAUAAAAAAGUCAUUCAAAAUAAAAAUUGAUGUCUCAAUUAAUCAUAUAUGAAAAGAAAAAAAAAGUAAUUAAUUACCUCCAGCAAGCCUCGUUUCGACGUCAGUUUUAUCCUCCUUAUUAUUAACCUGAGCAUUCUCUAAAUACGACGGCGUACCAGCAGACGACGAAAACCUAAGCGGAGAAGGAACCGGGAGGGAUCGUGUUCUGAUAUGAUUCAACCCGAGCGCUGACGCCAUAAUUAUCGGCGAAUUCUUGUCCGUUUUAUAAUUUCUCUCCUCCAAUGUCUCCUUACCGUCAUUUCUACUAUCGUAAUAUGUAUCGCUGCCGUCGUCAUUGUUGAUUGAUUCGGUGUCGUUCAGUGGAGCGUCGGGUUUCUGGAUUCGGCGGAUUGGAAUGGGAGGGAUUUUUCGGAGUUUGAAAGAGGAAGGAGAGGAGGAGGGAUUGAGAGUUGACGGAGAAGGAGACGGCAUCGUUUUUGACGACGAUGAAGGAUCUUCGUGAUCGUUUGUCGACAUGGAUGUAAAUCGGUACUGAUUGAAUUGAUCAGGUUCUUCAUUGCAUUGUGAGUGUAGAGUGAGAAUGUUAGAGAGAGGAUACAAAGAGAAAAAACAUAUGGAUAGAGAGAUGGGAGGGGUAGACAGGAGAGGUUUUCGCGGGAAAUGGAGCGUAGAGGGCGACACGACGAUGAAGGGAAGGUUCUGUUAAUUUUCUGCUUCGAAACGUGCUUGCCGCAAAGUUUUUUUUGUAAAUUUCAGUUUUCCCACUAUAGUUUUAUUAAUGUUACACUAUUGUCCUUAUAUUUUAAACGUUUUCAAUGUUGCUUUCAUAGUUUUUUGAAAAUUCUAGUUUUAAUUUUAACCAUUAAGUAAUUUAUGUUUUGAGGGUUUUUUUUUAAUUUUUUUCGUAACAUAUUGUAAAAUAAACAUGAACUUGAGAGUAAAAAAAUGAGAGAAAAAUGAGAAAAACUAUAAUAAUAAAAAAAAUAAAAAAUAGCUUUAGUUAUUGUAAAGGAUAAAAUUGAAACUCUUAAAAACUAUAUGAGUAACAUUGAAACAUUUUAAACUAUAAAGGUAUAAGUGAAACAAUGAUAAAUUUAUAAUAGCUAAAAUAUAGUUUUCCUUUCAACAGGUAAACUUUAUUUUUAGCCCUAUAGAUUCACCGAUAUCUUAAUUCUAUCCCUAUAGUUUAAAAUUUUCAAUAUGACUCUUAGUUUCUUUUGAGGAAUUAUUAUUAUUCACAAUUACAAUUCGCUGAAUCUCUCUUUGGGUGUAUAUUUACUGACUCUAUGUUCUUACGAUAUUCUAGUUUUUUUUUGUUAACUUCUUUAAAAAAAAAAAAAUAUUAGAGAAAUAAAACUCUUGAAAAUUUAAUUAGAAAAAUAAUAUAGUCUGGGAAGUUGGAGUUUAAAAAAUAAAUAAAUAUGCGUUAACAAUAUAAUAUUUAUUUAUUUUUAAAAGACAAUAUUUUAAAAAUAACUUUAUAUUAGUCUCAGUCUCGUGAUAAAGAAUUUUAAUUAAUUAUAUAACAAUAUCUCGUGGGUAAAUAACUAAUUACUAAACUAUGUGAGAGUGGAAUGUAGUGAUGGAAAGAAUGUCUCCCCUUCAUGGAAAGCAGCUAUCUACAAACUAUGAACAGCAACUUCAAGAAAUAAUUUUACUUUGUAUCGCCACUAUCCAUUGUGGAAUUAUAGAAUUUACUUCUUCCGGUUGCUCAUCGUGUGGAUAUUGGCCUGAAAUUUCAAUCAGAUACAAAGGUUAUUAAUUUUUUAAUUCACAUAUGAUCAUCAAAGUUAUCCCAAGAUAAUGCUUUUGGAGCUUGGUAAAUUUGGACUUGGAAUUGGAGAUGGGAUUUUUCAUAUUUUCAUUCCCUGAAAAUGGUGAAAUCAAUCAGAAUUGUAAGGGAGCAAUCCCAACCGGGCAAUCAAGAUAAGAGUGGGGGCUGCUACUGCCGUCCAAGAAUUGAUGAAGAGGAAGUGAGAGAUCAGAAAUGAAAAUAAUUUCCAGUACCAACCGCUCUGUAGGAUCAGAAUUUCAUGCAUGUUAAGCUGAUGUGAAUAGAGUCAGAUUAGGGCAUGCUUAGCUAGAAACAAGGAUAGAGCUCUUAGCAUUUCAUUGGCAAGCGAAUUCGUGCAACAUUUGGUUGUGAACAGGAAGACCGAUUGCGGAAAUAGAUGAAUACUUGCAGCUGGAUUGCAGUUCUUUAGAUUACCAGCAAACUUCAAGAUCCCUGAACAGAAAUAACAGAGCUCAAAGAGUCAACUUGGAGGACACUGACAAGUGUGCAAGGAAAACAUCUCGAUAGAUACCAAGUCAAGAAUAAGGCAUUUGCAUCAAAUUGUGUGCUGGAACAACAUCCCCAGAAUUUUUGACAAGGAUAUCAGACUCUCAGAGUGAGCUAAAGCAGGCCGAAGAACGCAGCAAGAGCUACAAGAUAGCCUGAAGAUAGAGACCAAGAACAAUUAGAGGAGUGUUGAAGAACAGCAACUGAUGAUGAGUUAAGCGGAUGAGGUUUCAAACAAGUAAACGGAGAAAUUAGAACAGGAACAUACCACCAACAGAGUUCCCCAGAAAAUGCACCGCUCAUUGAAAACUUCAAUUACAAAAUCUAUCAAGAAUUCAUCCCGCAUAAAUUCAGUAUAUUCACUAACUUAGGCUAACAUAUUAUACAGAAUAAAAUGAAAAAAUUAAGCUGAAAUGGAGUUAAAAGAAAACCAACAUGAUAAAAUCAGUUUUCCACUGCAGACCUGAUUGUGUUUGCCUAGAGUUAACCUCUGUGUAGUCUUCAUGUUUAGAUUACCAAAAGAAGGAAGGUGAACAGGAAAAAACAUUUAUACAAGUCAACGGAGAGGGAACCCACAUGAUGCAAUAAGAGUUGUAGAGAACAUGUAAUUUCUGGUCAGAGGAUAACAUUGAUGAGGUCGGUACACCAUGCCACCAUCAAUCUUUCUUAAGAUUGUGGCAAGCAAAGCAAUAUUAUCAAGGAUUACCCAGAAUACAUUUACAAGUAAAAGCAAAGGAAAUGAUGCACAUCUUCAUUUGCUCACACACCCACUAGCUACUUCUUUCCUGUUUUCUGUUUUUUCAAGCAAUCUAGUUGUUGCAGCAGUGUUCAUUCCUCUCUCUCCACUGAUUUCCCUCUAUCUUUUGAAGUAAGAUAAGGUAUUAACAGCUAAGGUUUUGAAACUAAAAUUGUACAUUACACCUAAUUCUAAUCUUCCACCACCAGAAUUAUAAAAACCCUCUUCCUUUCCACUCUAUGCGUCAAACACUUGUAGCCAGUAGCAAUACAGGCCAUUUUAUACAAAAACUACUAAAAUGGUGCCACAAUUUCUGUUAUCAUUUUCACUUAUUCUAUCCUUUCUUCUUCAUUGCCCCCCAACCCUAGCUCAGUCACCAGCUGCAGCCCCAGGACCACCUGGUCCAACCAAUGUCACCAAAAUACUAGAAAAAGGUGGUCAGUUCAGUGUGUUUAUCCGGCUUUUGAAAGCCACUCAAGAGGAUGUCACAUUGAAUGGCCAGCUCAACAACACAAACAAUGCUAUAACCAUCUUUGCACCUAGUGACAACGCCUUUUCGAGCCUGAAAUCAGGCACCCUCAACUCCCUAAACGAUCAAGAAAAGGCUGAGUUAGUGCAGUUUCACAUUAUCCCACAAUAUCUAUCAAGUUCCCAAUUCCAGACAGUGAGCAACCCUUUGACCACACAGGCAGGAUCAGGUGGCAGGUUAGAGCUUAAUGUAACCACCACAGGUAACUCAGUGAAUAUAACCACAGGACUUACCAAUACAAGCGUAUCUGGCACUAUAUACACUGAUAACCAGCUAGCUGUUUAUCAGGUUGACAAGGUGCUCCUUCCUGUUGAUAUUUUUACACCUAAACCUCCUACUCCAGCACCAGCACCUGAAAAACCAAAGAAAAGGUCUAAAGCUGCAGAGAGUCCAGAUGCUCCUGAGGAUAAUUCUGGAGCAGUAAGCUUAACUGUUCUUAAUGAUGUUGUGUUCUUUGGAGUGGGCAUUGUUGCAGCAAUAUUUUCUUUGUGACACAGUUCAUGAGUUUGUUA
rnacentral:lncRNA from 1 species